GGUCAAGUUGUGUAGGGCACACGGUGGAUGCCUUGGCAUCAGGAGCCGAUGAAGGACGUGGGAGGCUGCGAUAAGCCUCGGGGAGUCGCCAGCCAGACGUUGAUCCGGGGAUGUCCGAAUGGGGGAACCCGGCGGGUGUUGUGGCCCGUCAUCUCCGCUUGAAUUCAUAGGGCGGGGAAGGGAACGCCGGGGAAGUGAAACAUCUCAGUACCCGCAGGAAGAGAAAACAAUAGUGAUUCCGUGAGUAGUGGUGAGCGAAAGCGGAUGAGGCUAAACCGUGCGCGUGUGAUAGCCGGCGGGUGUUGCGUGUGCGGGGUUGUGGGACCCUCUGGUGGUUUCCGCCGAGACCACAAGCAGUGAGAAAUCGGUGGGGUAGCCGAAGGUUCUGGGAAGGGCUGCCGUAGACCGUGAUAGCCGGGUAGGUGAAACUCUGCCGACUGCUGGAGGGGAUCCCCGAGUAGCACGGGGCUCGAGGAAUCCUGUGUGAAUCUGCCAGGACCACCUGGUAAGCCUGAAUACUUCCUGGUGACCGAUAGUGGACGAGUACCGUGAGGGAAAGGUGAAAAGUGCCCCGGUGAGGGGUUGUGAAAGAGUACCUGAAACCGUGUGCCUGCAAGCCGUGGGAGCGUUGGUCUGUUCCUUUGUGGAUGGGCCGUGAUGUGACUGCGUGCCUUUUGAAGAAUGAGCCUGCGAGUUACGGUGUGUGGCGAGGUUAACCCGUGUGGGGGAGCCGUAGCGAAAGCGAGUCUGAAUAGGGCGUUGAGUCGCAUGCUGUAGACCCGAAGCGGGGUGAUCUACGCAUGGGCAGGGUGAAGCUCAGGUAAGACUGGGUGGAGGCCCGAACCCACCAGGGUUGAAAACCUGGGGGAUGACCUGUGUGUAGGGGUGAAAGGCCAAUCAAACUCCGUGAUAGCUGGUUCUCCCCGAAAUGCAUUUGGGUGCAGCGUCGCGUGGUUCUUGCCGGAGGUAGAGCACUGGAUGGCCGAUGGGCCCGACAAGGUUACUGACGUCAGCCAAACUCCGAAUGCCGGUAAGGGUGAGCGCGGCAGUGAGACUGCGGGGGAUAAGCUUCGUAGUCGAGAGGGAAACAGCCCGGACCACCGGCUAAGGCCCCUAAGCGUGUGCUGAGUGGGAAAGGAUGUGGAGUCGCAGUGACAACCAGGAGGUUGGCUUAGAAGCAGCCAUCCUUGAAAGAGUGCGUAAUAGCUCACUGGUCAAGUGAUUUCGCGCCGAUAAUGUAGCGGGGCUUAAGCACAUCGCCGAAGCCGUGGCACUUCUGCAGCCGUGUGUGUUGUGGGGGUGGGUAGGGGAGCCGUCGUGCGGCGGGUGAAGCGGCGGAGUGAUCCAGUCGUGGACGCUGUGCGAGUGAGAAUGCAGGCAUGAGUAGCGAAUGAGGGGUGGGAAACCCCUCCGCCGGAUGACCAAGGGUUCCUGGGGCAGGUUAAUCCGCCCAGGGUAAGUCGGGGCCUAAGGCGAGGCCGACAGGCGUAGUCGAUGGAUAACGGGUUGAUAUUCCCGUACCCGCCGUGGUGCGCCCACGUCGAGGCCGUUGAUGCUAACCCGUCGAGUCCGGCCACUCUCUUCUUUGAGGGGGGUGGUGUGGAGGAGCCGGGGACCCGAGGCGGUAGUAGGCGAGCGAUGGGGUGACGCAGGAAGGUAGUCCAGCCCAGGCGGUGGUUGUCCUGGGGUAAGCAUGUAGGGCGGGGCGUAGGUAAAUCCGCGUCCCUUUUGAGCCUGAGGUGUGAUGCCGAGCCGAUUGUGGCGAAGUGGAUGAUCCUAUGCUGCCGAGAAAAGCCUCUAGCGAGUGCCGUGGCGGCCCGUACCCGAAACCGACUCAGGUGGUCGAGUAGAGAAUACUCAGGCGAUCGGGUGAACUGUGGUUAAGGAACUCGGCAAAUUGCCCCCGUAACUUCGGGAGAAGGGGGGCCUCUGCUGGUGAUGGGCUUUGCGCUCGGAGCUGGUGGGGGUCGCAGUGGCCAGGGGGAAGCGACUGUUUACUAAAAACAUAGGUCCGUGCGAAGUCGUAAGACGAUGUAUACGGACUGACGCCUGCCCGGUGCCGGAACGUUAAGGGGACCGCUUAGCCACUGCUUUUGUGGUGGCGAAGGUGAGAACUUAAGCGCCGGUAAACGGCGGUGGUAACUAUAACCAUCCUAAGGUAGCGAAAUUCCUUGUCGGGUAAGUUCCGACCUGCACGAAUGGCGUAACGACUUCCCCGCUGUCUCAACCGCAGACCCGGCGAAAUUGCACUACGAGUAAAGAUGCUCGUUUCGCGCAGCAGGACGGAAAGACCCCGGGACCUUCACUGCAGCUUGACAUUGGUGUCUGGGGCGGCUUGUGUAGGAUAGGUGGGAGACUGUGAAGCCUGGACGCCAGUUCGGGUGGAGUCGUCGGUGAAAUACCACUCUGGUCGUUUUGGAUGUCUAACCCGCGCCCGUGGAUCCGGGUGGGGGACAGUGUCUGGUGGGUAGUUUAACUGGGGCGGUUGCCUCCUAAAGGGUAACGGAGGCGCCCAAAGGUCCCCUCAGCCUGGUUGGUAAUCAGGUGUUGAGUGUAAGUGCACAAGGGGGCUUGACUGUGAGACCGACGGGUCGAGCAGGAGCGAAAGCUGGGACUAGUGAUCCGGCACCGGUGUGUGGAAGCGGUGUCGCUCAACGGCUAAAAGGUACCCCGGGGAUAACAGGCUGAUCUUCCCCAAGAGUCCAUAUCGACGGGAUGGUUUGGCACCUCGAUGUCGGCUCGUCGCAUCCUGGGGCUGGAGUAGGUCCCAAGGGUUGGGCUGUUCGCCCAUUAAAGCGGUACGCGAGCUGGGUUUAGAACGUCGCGAGACAGUUCGGUCCCUAUCCGCUGCGCGCGUAGGAGACUUGAUGGGGGGCUGUCCCUAGUACGAGAGGACCGGGACGGACGAACCUCUGGUGUGCCAGUUGUGCCGCCAGGUGCAUGGCUGGUUGGCUACGUUCGGAAGGGAUAACCGCUGAAAGCAUCUAAGCGGGAAGCUCGCCCCGAGAUGAGGUCUCCCACCGGGAUGACCGGGUAAGGCCCCCAGGAGAUGACUGGGUUGAUAGGCCGGAGGUGGAAGCGCGGUAACGUGUGGAGCUGACCGGUACUAAUAGGCCGAGGACUUGACCAUAUAAGAGG
rnacentral:rRNA from 1 species